UUAAUAUUCCCGUACUUCUUACAAUUGCGAUGGGGGGACGGAGAAGGCUAGGUGGGCCUGGCGACGGUUGUCCAGGUUCAAGUGCGUAGGCUGAGUGUUUAGGUAAAUCCGGAUACUCUUAAGGCUGAGACACGACGUCGAGCUACUACGGUAGUGAAGUCAUUGAUGCCAUGCUUCCAGGAAAAGCCUCUAAGCUUCAGAUUGUAAGGAAUCGUACCCCAAACCGACACAGGUGGUCGGGUAGAGAAUACCAAGGCGCUUGAGAGAACUCGGGUGAAGGAACUAGGCAAAAUGGUACCGUAACUUCGGGAGAAGGUACGCUCUUGAUGGUGAAGUCCCUUGCGGAUGGAGCUGACGAGAGUCGCAGAUACCAGGUGGCUGCAACUGUUUAUUAAAAACACAGCACUGUGCAAAAUCGUAAGAUGACGUAUACGGUGUGACGCCUGCCCGGUGCCGGAAGGUUAAUUGAUGGGGUUAGCGUAAGCGAAGCUCUUGAUCGAAGCCCCGGUAAACGGCGGCCGUAACUAUAACGGUCCUAAGGUAGCGAAAUUCCUUGUCGGGUAAGUUCCGACCUGCACGAAUGGCGUAAUGAUGGCCACGCUGUCUCCACCCGAGACUCAGUGAAAUUGAAAUCGCUGUGAAGAUGCAGUGUACCCGCGGCUAGACGGAAAGACCCCGUGAACCUUUACUACAGCUUGGCACUGAACAUUGAACCUACAUGUGUAGGAUAGGUGGGAGGCUUUGAAGACGUGACGCCAGUUGCGUUGGAGCCGUCCUUGAAAUACCACCCUUGUAUGUUUGAUGUUCUAACGUUGGCCCCUAAUCGGGGUUGCGGACAGUGCCUGGUGGGUAGUUUGACUGGGGCGGUCUCCUCCCAAAGAGUAACGGAGGAGCACGAAGGUGGGCUAAUCACGGUUGGACAUCGUGAGGUUAGUGCAAUGGCAUAAGCCCGCUUAACUGCGAGAAUGACGGUUCGAGCAGGUGCGAAAGCAGGUCAUAGUGAUCCGGUGGUUCUGAAUGGAAGGGCCAUCGCUCAACGGAUAAAAGGUACUCCGGGGAUAACAGGCUGAUACCGCCCAAGAGUUCAUAUCGACGGCGGUGUUUGGCACCUCGAUGUCGGCUCAUCACAUCCUGGGGCUGAAGUCGGUCCCAAGGGUAUGGCUGUUCGCCAUUUAAAGUGGUACGCGAGCUGGGUUUAGAACGUCGUGAGACAGUUCGGUCCCUAUCUGCCGUGGGCGUUGGAAGAUUGAAGGGGGCUGCUCCUAGUACGAGAGGACCGGAGUGGACGAACCUCUGGUGUUCGGGUUGUGUCGCCAGACGCAUUGCCCGGUAGCUAAGUUCGGAAUCGAUAACCGCUGAAAGCAUCUAAGCGGGAAGCGAGCCCUGAGAUGAGUCUU
rnacentral:rRNA from 1 species